CAUAGCGACUAUCGUGGCAUAUCAAUAAGCGGAGGAAAAGAAACUAACUAAGGAUUCCCUCAGUCACGGCGAGUGAAGCGGGAAGAGCUCAAAUUUGAAAUCUUCAAGGUUCUACCUUGACGAAUUGUAGUUUAAAGAAGUGUUUUCUGUUGGAGUUUUGGUAAAAGUUCUUUGGAAUAGGACAUCAUAGAGGGUGAGAAUCCCGUAUUUGACCAUUAUUUCCAACUUUGUGAUACACUUUCAAAGAGUCGGAUUGUUAGGGAAUGCAGUCCAAAAUGGGUGGUAAAUUUCAUCUAAAGCUAAAUAUUGGCGAGAGACCGAUAGCGAACAAGUACCGUGAGGGAAAGAUGAAAAGAACUUUGAAAAGAGAGUUAAACAGUACGUGAAAUUGUCAAAAGGGAAGCGUUUGACACCAGUGUUGUUUUCUCGAAAAUCAAUUAAAAAUGGCCGGAUUUUGUGUUGUAUUGACUUUAUCAGCUUUCUGCACUUUUUUCUUGUCUUUUUUAAUGCACUUUUCGUUUAACAAGUCAACAUCAAUUUCUUUUGUUGUAAAAGAGUCAUUGGAAGGUGGCUUUCAUUUCGGUGAAAGUGUUUAUAGCCUUUGACUUUUGCAAUCGGAGAGAUUAAGGUCUGCAGCGUAGAUCCUUCGGGGUUAGAUACAUUUGUGCUAAGUUAUAGUUUUUCAUAGACAACAUGUUGACUAUGAUUAAUCAUGUAGCUUACUCGCUUAUGCUAUUUUACCUACGCUUAGGAUGUUGAAGAUAUGCGCGACACG
rnacentral:rRNA from 1 species